GGGAGUGAAAAAGAACCUGAAACCGUGUACGUACAAGCAGUGGGAGCACAGAGCAAUCUGUGUGACUGCGUACCUUUUGUAUAAUGGGUCAGCGACUUAUAUUCUGUAGCAAGGUUAACCGAAUAGGGGAGCCGAAGGGAAACCGAGUCUUAACUGGGCGUUAAGUUGCAGGGUAUAGACCCGAAACCCGGUGAUCUAGCCAUGGGCAGGUUGAAGGUUGGGUAACACUAACUGGAGGACCGAACCGACUAAUGUUGAAAAAUUAGCGGAUGACUUGUGGCUGGGGGUGAAAGGCCAAUCAAACCGGGAGAUAGCUGGUUCUCCCCGAAAGCUAUUUAGGUAGCGCCUCGUGAAUUCAUCUCCGGGGGUAGAGCACUGUUUCGGCAAGGGGGUCAUCCCGACUUACCAACCCGAUGCAAACUGCGAAUACCGGAGAAUGUUAUCACGGGAGACACACGGCGGGUGCUAACGUCCGUCGUGAAGAGGGAAACAACCCAGACCGCCAGCUAAGGUCCCAAAGUCAUGGUUAAGUGGGAAACGAUGUGGGAAGGCCCAGACAGCCAGGAUGUUGGCUUAGAAGCAGCCAUCAUUUAAAGAAAGCGUAAUAGCUCACUGGUCGAGUCGGCCUGCGCGGAAGAUGUAACGGGGCUAAACCAUG
rnacentral:rRNA from 1 species